UAGCAAGAUAUUCCUGAUAAAAAGAGAACGAUAAAAGACAGCCCUAAAAGAGAGGUGAGUUGAGAGAAUCCACGCAGAGAUGAGUAGACUCACUUAAUCAUUCCAUCACGACCGACGUCAGCGCCAUGCCUGGAUGUCUGAUAACCACACUCAAUCAGGUUAAAAGUCGCUUUCUGUGUCCUCUAAAAGAGUCGUUGAAUAUCAGCAAAACUACUUACAGCUCUGCAAUGUCUUUAGAUGAAGAAAUAUCCCGGAAGUAUUUCAGGCGACUUUGACCUCGUGUAUAAAGAAAACACAUUUGACUGAGAUGGAAAAAAUCCUACUCUUGGGAUGACUGAAGAGGCGCAGGAUUUCUCAAUGUUGAGCCUGUAAGGUUUUAGAAGGUCAAACCAUUUAUAACCAAAAGCAUGAUCUUCGUUACGUUUCCUCUACAGUAUCUAUCAGAGAAAAGUGCCAGAGGUUUCCAGACGCUAACAAAACAGUCAUAGACGUGGUACUGGGAAAGCCACUUCCGUACGCGGCCACGAGACAGAAAAGGAAAAAACAUAAGGCGUUACCAGACAACGAUAGGAGAAACAGGAUCUGAUGUGGACAAGAGAGCUGUUUCUGUUAUACAACAUUAAGGAUUGGAUUAUUAUUUCGCAAUAAGA